UCAGCGGCGGACGGGUUGAUGUAUAUGCCUAGGAAUCUGCCUGGUAGUGGGGGAUAACGUCCCGGAAACGGGCGCUAAUACCGCAUACGUCCUGAGGGAGAAAGUGGGGGAUCUUCGGACCUCACGCUAUCAGAUGAGCCUAGGUCGGAUUAGCUAGUUGGUGGGGUAAAGGCCUACCAAGGCGACGAUCCGGUAACUGGUCUGAGAGGAUGAUCAGUCACACUGGAACUGAGACACGGUCCAGACUCCUACGGGAGGCAGCAGUGGGGAAUAUUGGACAAUGGGCGAAAGCCUGAUCCCAGCCAUGCCGCGUGUGUGAAGAAGGUCUUCGGAUUGUAAAGCACUUUAAGUUGGGAGGAAGGGCAGUAAGUUAAUACCUUGCUGUUUUGACGUUACCAACAGAAAUAAGCACCGGCUAACUUCGUGCCAGCAGCCGCGGUAAUACGAAGGGUGCAAGCGUUAAUCGGAAUUACUGGGCGUAAAGCGCGCGUAGGUGGUUCAGCAAGUUGGGAUGUGAAAUCCCCGGGCUCAACCUGGGAACUGCAUCCUAAACUACUGAGCUAGAGUACGGUAGAGGGUGGUGGAAUUUCCUGUGUAGCGCCGAAAUGCGUAGAAUAUAGGAAGGAACACCAGUGGCGAAGGCGACCACCUGGACUGAUACUGACACUGAUGUGCGAAAGCGUGGGGAGCAAACAGGAUUAGAUACCCCGUUAGUCCA
rnacentral:rRNA from 1 species